UACAGCCAUAUCACGUUGAAAUACCGGUUUCCGUACGAUCAUCGAAGUUAAGCGUCAUCGAGCCUGGUAAGUACCUAAAUGGGUGACCUCUUGGGAAUAUCAAG